UCUAAAAUGGCAGAUUAGUGCAAUAAAUUUAAGAUUUAUAAAUAAAUAAUAUUUUUUAGAA
rnacentral:tRNA from 2 species